GUAAAAUUCAAAAAAGGAGGGCAUAAGACCAUUCUUUACAACUGAAGAAUUAGGCAGUAAAGAAUAAUCAACAUGCUCAUAACGAUGUGCUUUUAAGUCGUAAAUGAAAUGUGGAAUCAUAAUCUAGGCUUUUCCUAUAGCUCAAAAUCAUAAUUCAAUCAAAAGCACUCUACAAUCACCAUUUUCUUUUGGAAUAUACAACCUUGGACAA
rnacentral:misc_RNA from 1 species